GCCGACGUAGCUCAGCUGGUAGAGCAGCUGACUUGUAAUCAGCAGGUCAUCGGUUCGAACCCGAUCGUCGGCUCCA
rnacentral:tRNA from 1 species